AAAAAAAAAAGUAUAUUUUGAUCAUUUUAGAGACCAAAAUAACAAGUAUUCCACUGAGUUAAUUCAUCAGGGGACGAAGUACAUGGGAUUGGGGAGCUUAAAGGUCCUGUUGCCCGAAAAUUCUCCUUGUAGGUCACUCCACUGGUCGCCCACAUUCCCCCAUAUCCUAUACCCUUCUCCUACUAGUUGCUUUCUAAUAUCUGAUUUGUAUGCAACUGCACUUUGCCCUUUGUACGAUGCCGUUCUCAAAAAUAAUCGUUCAUAGCCAAUGAAUCCUUGAUUA
rnacentral:misc_RNA from 1 species